GCUUUUUAAUGCUUUAGUUUGUCUUAAGAACUUAAGUGAACGCUGCAAAUAUUUUAAGUGGAUUCUUUUGCAACCCAAGAAUCAGCAGAUCUAUUCCAUAUAUGCUUUGUUUUGAUCCACAGACGCCUAUUCUGUCCUCAUUCUUGUUUUUUCAUUAGGACUGCUUACUAGUUCUUUUUUUUUUUUUUUUAAAUCUUCAGUCGACCCACCUGCUCCCUCAUGCCAGGAGGGACUCUACCUCCCAAGGUUUCUGCACCCAAUGCCUGCAAAUGGAGCACACAUCACAGCAGAGGUCAACAAAGAGGUAGAGAUCCGAAUCAAAGCCCCGGCAUCAUAUUCAGUAAUACAAGAUAUCAUCAUCAGCGGGCCAAUGAAUAUGACCAAACACAGGACCACACAUGAUGAGUUUGUCCUUCGGUGGACGCCAUUAAAGAGUCACCUGGGAGAUCAUUUUCCAGUCUGCUUUGCUGUGGAAUCUGUGACAGGGCUGGGUGUAACCAGCUUUCCAAGUGUUACACAUUCCCACUCACAUGCCAACCCAACCUCACAGUCUGGUGUCUAUCAGUCUGAGAUGAGGUGUGCUAUCUUGGAUGUCAGGAAGGAGGGAAUUAAAACCAAUAUGAUCUGCACUGAGUUCACAAUGAGAGUUGAGAUUGACAAAUCGUCCUUCCGUGGACUCCACAAGGAUCACCUGCGUCUCAGUGAACCCAGCAACACCCUCUGCAGCCUGGAGAGAUACUCCAACAGCACUCACGUCAUCGGCAUCAUCUCCCUCAAUGCUUGCGGCACUCAAAUUGAGGAAGAUGAUGAAAACUUCAUUUUUAAGAAUGAAAUCACCACAGUAGAUGACAACACAGAUCUGAUCACCAGGAAACACCAGCUGGAAGUAGAGUUCUACUGCCAGUACCCAAAAAAGGGAAAUGUGAUGGAGGGCUUCACGGCACACAGGAAGAACGUCACAGUGUGGGAUAAAGGCUUCGGCACGUUCACCUACCAGUUUGAGUUCUACCCAAACAACCACUUCCAAAGAAUGAUCCGAAUUCAUACCCUCUGGAGUAUGACGUGGGAGAGAAGAUAUACAUGGAGAUAGAUGCCUCCUCUACAGUAAGCAACACCGAGAUUUUUGUGGAGUCCUGCAGAGCUUCGCCAUAUGACAACCCCAACUACCACCCGACCUACUCCAUCAUCGAAAAUGGGUGCCCAGUGGACUCCACUGUUAUGACCCAUGCACCAGACAACAAGAGACAGUUUAGGUUCUGCAUCGAGGCCUUCAAGUUCAUUGGUUUGCACGAUCAGGUAUACAUCAGCUGUUCACUGAUGGUAUGUGAAGCAGGAAACCCCAACACCAGGUGCUCACAGGGAUGCAUCAACUCCACGUCAAAUGCUCACCACCACUCCCACCGCCGAAAGAGGGGGGCUAUCAUGCAGACUGCACAGCACUUCAUUUCCCAGGGUCCCCUGCGCUUGAAGAGGUCAGCAGACAUCAGCAGGAGUGAAGGGAACACCACGAACCUGAACCUGGUCUUCAUAGCUGGAUGUCUUCUUGCUGGCGUGCUCAUGUUCAGGGCCAAAACAUCAAGGGUCAAAUACCAAGCUUUGUCCUCAAGGGAAAGUUAAAACCCUUCGUGUGCCCCAGUGGAUGAGAUGAAAUUAUUUAGAUCAUCCUGCAGUCUGAUUCUGG
ensembl:lncRNA